UACGGAGGAUGCGAGCGUUAUCCGGAUUUAUUGGGUUUAAAGGGUGCGUAGGCGGAUCGUUAAGUCAGUGGUCAAAUUGAGGGGCUCAACCCCUUCCCGCCAUUGAAACUGGCGAUCUUGAGUGGAAGAGAAGUAUGCGGAAUGCGUGGUGUAGCGGUGAAAUGCAUAGAUAUCACGCAGAACCCCGAUUGCGAAGGCAGCAUGCCGGCUUCCGACUGACGCUGAGGCACGAAAGCGUGGGUAUCGAACAGG
rnacentral:rRNA from 1 species